rnacentral:lncRNA from 1 species
CUUCCUUGCCCAUACCACUGUACGUACCACUGUAUUAUAGGAGCCGGAGAUGCAGACAAGAGGUGCUGGAGCCACCAGCCAGGAUUAGCUGAUGCAUGUGGACAGACAGCCAAUCCAAAAGGCCCCUGCCGUAGUGGCCCCGGGCCCAGAACUGCUGAUCUGCUGGAUAUGUCUGAGUGAACAGGAGCAGCUCUCAGAGGCCUC